rnacentral:lncRNA from 1 species
AGGGAGUUAGGCCAAACACUAGAUAGAGGACAUUAAGCUAAUAAAAGGCUGUAAAGAGAUGGCAUCAGGAAUGGCCUAUGCUGUUACAGAUUUCAAAUAAAAUCAUUAAGCCAACCCAGCCAUGGACUAUCAGUUAAUAAAAUCUCAUAGGACAGCACUAAGCAGAAGUAAUACGAAAUUAUUAUCCUCCAGUUACACUUUGAGGCAUUAAUGCAAUGAUAUUAGAGG